UCCCCAGUUGCUCAGAUGGUAAAGCGUCUGCCUACAAUGCAGGAGACCCAGGUUCGAUUCUUGGGUUGGGAA
rnacentral:tRNA from 1 species